GGGGAUGACAGGCUUCGACGGAAGAGAUUGGCCCCGGAUUGCGAGCCGAGAGGCGCCGUUCUCGUAAAAUCAGCGCAAAACUUUAAGUGCCAACCGCACUGACUAUGCUGCUCUUCCCCUCGCUGCAUAAGCCUGGGUAAGGACAGACGAUUGCCUCGAUGCAAUCUCGUUCAUCUCCUCCAAACUCCUGCUGGAGGGGCAUGAACGUCAGAAAGCAGGAGUACAGCCGGAUGACGCCGCUGCUCCGGCCUAAGAGGAACUUUCGGGUUCCAGCGGCUAAUCAGCUGUCGCUUUGGGCAGUUGUAGCUCUGCUGAUGAAACCUAACAAUUGCCUACGCUUGUAGACAUCCGAGUGGUUGAAUCUUUCGGACGCGGGUUCGAUUCCCGCCAUCUCCACCU
rnacentral:tmRNA from 1 species